rnacentral:rRNA from 1 species
UACGUAGGUGGCAAGCGUUGUCCGGAUUUACUGGGCGUAAAGAGCGCGCAGGCGGUCGUUCAAGUCGCGUGUGAAAGCCCCCGGCUCAACUGGGGAGGGUCACGCGAUACUGAUCGACUCGAAGGCAGGAGAGGGUAGUGGAAUUCCCGGUGUAGUGGUGAAAUGCGUAGAUAUCGGGAGGAACACCAGUGGCGAAGGCGACUACCUGGCCUGUUCUUGACGCUGAGGCGCGAAAGCGUGGGGAGCGAACG